rnacentral:lncRNA from 1 species
GUUUUAAGGGUUAAUAUUGCUUUACUCCCUGUAAUAUAGAUCAUUUCCGGUUUAUCCUUUGUAAUUUUUUUUUUAGAUUCCAUGUAAUUUGAAGAUUUUUUCAUUUUGGACCUUCAUGAAUUUCGACUGUACAAAAUUGAUGAUAUGGCAGGGGGUAAACUGAAAUUUGCUCAAAUUACAAGGGACGAAAGUACCAUAAAUUUUGUAAUUUGAUGCCAUGAAGGUCCAAAACAAAAAAUCUUCAAAUUACAAAAAUAGAAUCUAAAAAAGUAAAAAAAUAAUAGGGGAUAACCCAAAAAUG